rnacentral:rRNA from 1 species
UGGUGGAGUGAUCUGUCUGGUUGAUUCCGUUAACAACGAGACCUCAGCCUACUAAAUAAUUGUAUUAAUGCUGUGCAUUGAUAUCAACUUCUUAGAGGGACUUUGGGUGUCGAGCCCAAGGAAGUUUGAGGCAAUAACA